AUGACUUUAUGGAAAAAUAAUAUUUCCCGCUUCAUGCCAGCUAAUACGGGAUCUUAGCACCCAAAUCUUCCACCCAAAUUAAAUCAUUUCCAUCUUCCUAGUGUGUCUAAACCCUAAUAAGUUUCAGCUAUUAUUCAUAAUCAAUUUGCUUGGUCGUGGAACUCCAGUCGGCAAAAUAAUGGUCUUCCAUGAAUCUAAGCGAUGAGUAACAAAGCACAAUUUCAGUCCAUAAAGAACUCCUGUGAUCAUCUCGUAUAGCAGUGUUUCAGACAUUUUUCUGAACAGGUGUGUAAUUAUGUUCGCAUGUUUCAGAAGCAAAGUAACCUGACAUGGAUCUUGUGAGGUGAUUUAAAUAACUCUUAUUGGAGGACAAAAAAUGAGAAAAAUCAACUAAGAUAGAUUGUUAUUAGCGAGGAACAGCAUCCACAUUGAGGGUAAUUUAAGGGAAGGGGAAGGGAAAGACCACAACUGACAUGAACUGAGAUAGUAAGGAAAGAUAUGAUGGUAUGUAAUUCAAUUGAGUUGAUGGCCUUAAAUAGAGCUGUGUUUUCAAUGUAGGAUUUAUGUAGCUGAUACCAAGUAUUUAGGAAAAGUCUUUGAUGAGUUGAGUAUUCCUCUUUUGGUUAACACAUGUAAACACAAACUCAAUUAUUAAAUGUGAACCUAUAAUCUCUGGAAGCAUGAGUGUCUCUCAUAGUGUUAUGUAAAAUUGUGAUGAAUCAAAAGUUCUUUUCAAUUCUAUAGCUUUCGUAUGUUGUCUACAUGUGUGCAUAUAUGAACUUUGGAUAAUUUGCCUGCCCGUAUAGAAUUCACUAUUGACUAUCUAUGCAUUAAUAAUAUCAGAAAAUGCGGACAAUUUUUGUUUCGCGGGUUAGGAAAACAAAUUGCAUAUAAAUGUCAUUUUGCAUAAAUUAUAAUGCUGGGAUUGGUUCUCAUUCUCUCUGAUGUGGUUUGUCUGCUCAUUAGUAUAGGGUCAUAAAUAAUUAGAAUAUGGAGAAGUCAUUCUCCAAUUUACCUACAUUUAUUGUUUUCCUAGGAUUGAAAUUUUUUAAAUUUAGUUAUUACAUAAAAUGUUAUGAAUUUAU